rnacentral:rRNA from 1 species
UACGUAGGGUGCAAGCGUUGUCCGGAAUUAUUGGGCGUAAAGAGCUCGUAGGCGGUUUGUCGCGUCUGCUGUGAAAACUCGGGGCUUAACCCCGGGCCUGCAGUGGGUACGGGCAGACUAGAGUGCGGUAGGGGAGACUGGAAUUCCUGGUGUAGCGGUGAAAUGCGCAGAUAUCAGGAGGAACACCAGUGGCGAAGGCGGUGCUCUGGGCCGGAACUGACGCUGAGGAGCGAAAGCGUGGGGAGCAAACAGG